rnacentral:siRNA from 1 species
UGGUAUACGACACUUCUGGUACCA